rnacentral:rRNA from 1 species
GACGAACGCUGGCGGCGUGCUUAACACAUGCAAGUCGAACGGAAAGGCCCUGCUUUUGUGGGGUGCUCGAGUGGCGAACGGGUGAGUAACACGUUAGUAACGUGCCCUUGACUUUGGGAUAACUUCAGGAAACUUGGGCUAAUACCGGAUAGGAGCUCCUGCUGCAUGGUGGGGGCUGGAAAGUUUCGGCGGUUGGGGAUGGACUCGCGGCUUAUCAGCUUGUUGGUGGGGUAGUGGAUUACCAAGGCUUUGACAGGUAGCCGGCCUGAGAGGGUGAGCGGCCAAAUUGGGACUGAGAUGCGGCCCAGACUCCUACGGGAGGCAGCAGUGCAGAAUAUUGUACAAUGGGCGGAAGCCUGAUGCAGCAACGCCGCGUGCGGGAUGACGGCCUUCGGGUUGUAAACCGCUUUCGCCUGUGACGAAGCGUGAGUGACGGUAAUGGGUAAAGAAGCACCGGCUAACUACGUG